rnacentral:snRNA from 8 species
UCUCCAGCCUGGCAGAGGAGAUACCAUAAUUAGGAUGGUGGUUCUCCCAGGAUUAGACACAUUCCUUGCACUUUGAGUAUGCCUACAAGUUGCUCAAAUGCAGGAAAGUCAGCUGCGUAAUUUGUGUUAGGGGUGGGCUUUGACAAUGCUGUCU